rnacentral:rRNA from 1 species
AUAUCAAUAAGCGGAGGAAAAGAAACUAACAAGGAUUCCCUAGUAACUGCGAGUGAAGCGGGAAAAGCUCAAAUUUAAAAUCUGGUGCAGUCAUCUGCUCGCUUCGAGUUGUAAUCUAGAGAAGUGCUUAUCCGCGCUGGACCGUGUACAAGUCUCCUGGAAUGGAGCGUCAGUAGAGGGUGACAAUCCCGUCUUUGACACGGACUAACCAGGGCUUUGUGAUAUGCUCUCGAAGAGUCGAGUUGUUUGGGAAUGCAGCUCUAAAAUGGGUGGUAAAUUCCAUCUAAAGCUAAAUAUUGGCGAGAGACCGAUAGCGAACAAGUACCGUGAGGGAAAGAUGAAAAGAACUUUGAAAGAGAGUUAAACAGUAC